UGUGUCUGUGGGUCUACAGGUCUAUGUGUGUCUGUGGGUCUAUGUGUGUCUGUGGGUCUACAGGUCUAUGUGUGUCUGUGGGUCUAUGUGUGUCUGUGGGUCUACAGGUCUAUGUGUUUCUGUGGGUCUAUGGGUCUACAGGUCUAUGUGUGUCUGUGGGUCUACAGGUCUAUGUGUGUCUGUGGGUCUACAGGUCUAUGUGUGUCUGUGGGUCUACAGGUCUAUGUGUGUCUGUGGGUCUACAGGUCUAUGUGUGUCUGUGGGUCUACAGGUCUAUGUGUGUCUGUGUGUCUACAGAUCUAUGUGUGUCUGUGGGUCUACAGGUCUAUGUGUGUCAGUCUGGCUCCACAGGUCUGUGUCUGUGGCUCUACAGGUCAAUGUGGGUCAAUGUGUGUCAGUCUGGCUCUACAGGUCUGUGUGCGUGUGUGUGUGCGUGUGUGUCUGCAGGGGUGCGUGUGUGUCUGCAGGGGUGCGUGUGUGUCUGCAGGGGUGCGUGUGUGUCUGCAGGGGUGCGUGUGUGUCUGCAGGGGUGCGCGCGUCUGCAGGUGUGCGCGCGUCUGCAGGUGUGCGCGCGUCUGCAGGUGUGUGCGCGCGUGUGCGCGUCUGCAGGUGUGUGCGCGCGUGUGCGCGUCUGCAGGUGUGUGCGCGCGUGUGCGCGUCUGCAGGUGUGUGCGCGCGUGUGUCUGUGUCUGUCUGUAAGUGUGUUUGUCCUGUUUCCAUGCCUGCCUGCCUGUCAGAUUGAAUAUAUGUGCUGUAUUCACACCUCACUAAUGAUGUCAUGUCCUCUUCUCCUGUCUCUCCCAAGUCAUGGCAGGAACCACAACUGUCCCCCUCCUUCCCAGCCCCCUCCCUCCCAACCACCUCCCUCCCAG
ensembl:lncRNA